AGCAGCUGCGGUAAUUCCAGCUCCAAUAGCGUAUAUUAAAGUUGUUGCCGUUAAAAGCUUGUAGUUGAAUUUUGGGGUUCUACCGUUGGUCGGGCAAUUGUCUGUACUGGCGUGUGGAAUUUCUACCUUCUGGAGAACCAUCAUGUUAUUAAUUUAGCGUGUUGGGAAACCAGGACCUUUACCUUGAAAAAUUAGAGUGUCAAAGCAGGCUUACGUCUGAAUACAUUAGCAUGGAAUAAUAAAAUAGGACGGUGGUCCUGUUUUGUUGGUUUCUGAAUCACCGUAAUGAUUAAUAGGGAUAGUUGGAGGCAUUAGUAUUCAAUUGUCAGAGGUGAAAUUCUUGGAUUUAUUGAAGACUAACUUCUGCGAAAGCAUUUGCCAAGGAUGUUUUUGAUUAAUCAGGACAAAAGGUUAGGGGAUCGAAGACGAUCAGAUACUGUCGUAGUCUUAACCAUAAACUAUGCCGACUAGGGAUCGGACGAUGUUAAUUUUUGCUUGACUCGUUCGGCGCCUUAUGGGA
rnacentral:rRNA from 1 species